GCUUGUGUAACUCAGUUGGUAGAGUAGUUGAUUUGUAAUCAACCAGUCGUAGGUUCGAGUCCUACCACAAGCU
rnacentral:tRNA from 1 species